rnacentral:rRNA from 1 species
AUUGAACGCUGGCGGCAUGCUUUACACAUGCAAGUCGAACGGCAGCGCGGGCUUCGGCCUGGCGGCGAGUGGCGAACGGGUGAGUAAUGCAUCGGAACGUGCCCAGUAGUGGGGGAUAGCCCGGCGAAAGCCGGAUUAAUACCGCAUGCGACCUGAGGGUGAAAGCGGGGGACCGAAAGGCCUCGCGCUAUUGGAGCGGCCGAUGUCGGAUUAGCUAGUUGGUGGGGUAAAGGCUUACCAAGGCGACGAUCCGUAGCUGGUCUGAGAGGACGUCCAGCCACACUGGGACUGAGACACGGCCCAGACUCCUACGGGAGGCAGCAGUGGGGAAUUUUGGACAAUGGGGGCAACCCUGAUCCAGCCAUGCCGCGUGCGGGAAGAAGGCCUUCGGGUUGUAAACCGCUUUUGUUCGGGAAGAAAUCCUCUGGGCUAAUACCCCGGGGGGAUGACGGUACCGGAAGAAUAAGCACCGGCUAACUACGU